GUGCGUGAUGACAACUUUGGCCGU
rnacentral:miRNA from 1 species